rnacentral:rRNA from 1 species
AGAGUUUGAUUCUGGCUCAGAACGAACGCUGGCGGCGUGGAUAAGACAUGCAAGUCGAACGGGGUAAUCGAGUAGCAAUACGAGAUUACUUAGUGGCGAACGGGUGCGUAACACGUGGAUACAUGCCGAGAAGAGGGGGAUAACGCAGGGAAACUUGCACUAAUACCCCAUGUGGUCGCAAGACUAAAGGCGGGGCAACCUGCCGCUUCUUGAUUGGUCCGCGGCCUAUCAGCUAGUUGGUGAGGUAAAGGCUCACCAAGGCUACGACGGGUAGCUGGUCUGAGAGGAUGGCCAGCCACACUGGAACUGAGACACGGUCCAGACACCUACGGGUGGCAGCAGUCGAGAAUCUUUCACAAUGGGGGAAACCCUGAUGGAGCGACGCCGCGUGGAGGAUAAGGUCUUCGGAUUGUAAACUCCUGUCAUGCAAGAGUAACGUUUUAGGAGUAACUGCCUAGAAUCUGAUAGUACUGCAAGAGGAAGAGGCGGCUAACUCUGUGCCAGCAGCCGCGGUAAUACAGAGGCCUCAAGCGUUGUUCGGAAUCACUGGGCGUAAAGGGUGCGUAGGUGGCGUGGAAAGUCAGAUGUGAAAUCCGGGAGCUCAACUCCCGAAUUGCAUCCGAUACUCCCAUGCUAGAGAACUGGAGGGGGAUCUGGAAUUCUCGGUGUAGCAGUGAAAUGCGUAGAUAUCGAGAGGAACACUAGUGGCGAAGGCGAGAUCCUGGACAGUUUCUGACACUGAGGCACGAAGGCUAGGGUAGCGAACGGGAUUAGAUACCCCGGUAGUCCUAGCAGUAAACGGUGCACGUUUGGUGUGGGAGGAUUCGACCCCUUCUGCGCC